AACGCACAUUGCGCCCGCCAGCACUCUGGCGGGCAUGCCUGUUCGAGCGUCAUUUCAACCCUCAAGCCCAGCUUGGUGUUGGGGCGCCACGGAGCUUCGGCGCCGUGAGCCCUGAAAGUCAGUGGCGGACUCGCUGUGUGUCCGGGCGUAGUAGUAAUAUGUCGCCUGUGGACGCCCUGCGGGCUCCUGCCGUAAAACGCUUCUAACCAGAACGUUGACCUCGGAUCAGGUAGGAAUACCCGCUGAACUUAA
rnacentral:misc_RNA from 1 species